rnacentral:rRNA from 1 species
UCCCUACGGGGGGCAGCAGUGAGGAAUAUUGGUCAAUGGACGAGAGUCUGAACCAGCCAAGUCGCGUGAGGGAAGACUGCCCUAUGGGUUGUAAACCUCUUUUGUCAGGGAGCAAUGCCGGCUACGUGUAGCCGGACUGAGAGUACCUGAAGAAAAAGCAUCGGCUAACUCCGUGCCAGCAGCCGCGGUAAUACGGAGGAUGCGAGCGUUAUCCGGAUUUAUUGGGUUUAAAGGGUGCGUAGGCGGAAUAUCAAGUCAGCGGUAAAAAUUCGGGGCUCAACCCCGUCGUGCCGUUGAAACUGAUG